UACGUAGGGCGCAAGCGUUGUCCGGAAUUACUGGGCGUAAAGCGCGCGCAGGCGGUUCUCCAAGUCAGUGGUGAAAGCCCGGAGCUCAACUCCGGAAAUGCCAUUGAAACUGUUGAACUUGAGGACGAGAGAGGUGAGUGGAAUUCCCAGUGUAGAGGUGAAAUUCGUAGAUAUUGGGAAGAACACCGGUGGCGAAGGCGGCUCACUGGCCCGUAUCUGACGCUCAGGCGCGAUAGCGUGGGGAUCAAACAGG
rnacentral:rRNA from 1 species